rnacentral:lncRNA from 1 species
AGAUAUGCAGAUGUAAAAUAAGCACAUGAAAAGCUCCACACCACAUGUCAUUAAGGAAGCCCAAAUUAAAACAUUGAAAUACCAUUACACACCUAUUAGGUCCAAAUCCAAAACACUGACAACACCAAAUGCUGGCAAUAAUGUGGAGCACCAAGAAGUCUCAUUCAUUGCUCAUGGGAAUGCAAAAUGGUACAGCCACUUCAGCAGUUUGGCAGUUCCUUACAAAAGUAAACAUAUUCUUAUCAUACAUACUUAAUCUUCUGGUAUUUGCCCAAAGGAAUAAAAAACUUAUGUACACACAAAAAUAUGCGCCUAGAUUUUUACAGCAGUCCUGUUCAUAAGGGCCAAAACCCAGAAGCUGUCAAAUGUCCUUCAGUAGGUGAAUGGAUAAACAAAUUGAUCUGUCUAGAUAAUGGAAUGUUAGCACUAAAAAGGAAUGAGCUAUCAAGCCAUGAAAAAGCAUGAAGGAACUUUAAGUGUACAUUGCUAAGCAAAGUUGAUAGUGAAUUUUGGAUGAUAAUGAUGCGUCAACAUAGGUUCAUCAGUUGUAACAAAUGUAUCACUUCAUUGGGGAAUGUUGAUAAUGGGAAAGGCUAUGCAUGUGUACAGGCAGAGAGUAGAUGAGAAAUCUGUAUUUUCCACUCAGUUUUGCUGUGAAUCUCUAAAACUACACACACAAUAAAGUCUAUAAAGACAAAAAGAAGAGCACCUGGGUAGCUCGGUCAAGUGUCAACCCUUGAUUUUGGCUCAGGUCAUGAAUGAUCUCCAGGUCAUGGGAUGGAGCCUAUGCUUAGUGUGGAGUGUGCUUGGGAUUCUCUCUCUCCUUCUUCUGCCCUACCCCACUCACAUGCUCUCCCUCUGGGAAAAAAAAAAAAAAAAGAAUGGAGACCUAGUCCAAAGUCUAUAUAUGUUCCUAAGAAUAAAAUACUUAGGAAUAAAUUUAACAAAAUAAGUGCAAAAUACAUACUCUGAAAACUAAAAACAAUGCUGUAAGAAAUUAAGGAAAAUGUAAAUAAAUGGAAAACCAACCUAUUUUCAUGGAUCAAAAAACUUUGUCAAGAUGGCAAUUCUCUCCAAACUGAUCUACAGAUUCAACAUAAUCCCUAUCAGAAUCCUGUCUGACUUUUUAGAAAUUAACAAACUGAAAAUAAAAUUUAUAUGGAAUUGCAAGGGACCAGGAAUAGCCAAUACCAUUCUUAAAAAGAAGUUCAAAGUAGGACUUAACUAGUUUCAGUUUCAAAAACAAUUACAAAACGAUAGUAAACAAAACAAAGUGGUACUGCUAUAAGGAUAGUCAAAUAAGUCAAUGGAAUUGAAUUGAGAGACAAAAAUUUUUAAAAACAAAAAAUGCAUGUAUGGCCAAUUUAUUUUUAUUUUAAUUUUUGAAGAUUUUAUUUGUUUGAGAGAGAGAGAGAGUGAGCACUUGUCAGGGGGCAGGGAAAGGGCAGAGGGAGAAGGAGAAGCAGGCUCCCCAUUGAGCCUGAUGCAAGGUUUGAUCCCAGCACCCCAGGAUUAUGACCUGAAGAACUAAAAGCAAAUGCUUGUUUUUUGACAAGGGUGCCAAGACCACUCAAUGGGGAGAAAUGGUCUUUUUAACAAAAGAUUUUUCAGGGACGCCUGGAUGGCUCAGUGGUUGAGUGUCUGCCUUUGGCUCAGGGCAUGAUCCUGAAGUCCCUGGAUUGAGUCCCACAUUGGACUCCCUGCAGGGAGCCUGCUUCUUCCUCUUCCUAUGUCUCUGCCUGUCUCUCUGUGUCUCAUGAAUAAAUAAAUAAACUCUUAAAAAAAAAAAGAUUUUUCAAACAACUAAUACCAACAUGCAUCCAAAACAAUUAAUUUGAAUCCCUACCUCACGCUGUAUACAGAAAUUAACCCCCCAAAAGAACUGAAGAACCGUACAGCUAAAACUGUAAAACUCUCAGAAGAAAAUAUAGGUGUAAAUCUCUGCGGCCUUGUAUUAGGCAGUGUUUUUGUUGCUAUGACAUCAAGUAACAAAAGAAAAAGAUAAAGUGGACUUCUUCAAAAUUAAAAAUUUUUGUACU